rnacentral:rRNA from 1 species
UACGAAGGGUGCUAGCGUUGUUCGGAAUCACUGGGCGUAAAGCGCGCGUUAGGCGGCUUUCAAGUCAGGGGUGAAAUCCCACAGCUUAACUGUGGAACUGCCUUUGAAACCGUAAAGCUAGAGUGUCGGAGGGGAUAGCGGAAUUGCUAAUGUAGAGGUGAAAUUCGUAGAUAUUAGCAGGAACACCGGUGGCGAAGGCGGCUCACUGGACCCGGUACUGACGGCUGAGGUGCGGAAAGCGUGGGGAGCAAACAGG